AGUGAACGCUGGCGGUAGGCCUAACACAUGCAAGUCGAACGGCAGCACAGCAGUAGCAAUACUGUGGGUGGCGAGUGGCGGACGGGUGAGGAAUACAUCGGAAUCUACCUUUUCGUGGGGGAUAACGUAGGGAAACUUACGCUAAUACCGCAUAAGACCUUCGGGUGAAAGGUGGGGGACCGUUCGGGCCGUCACGCGGA
rnacentral:rRNA from 1 species